rnacentral:tRNA from 1 species
GCCCAUGUAGCUCAGUAGGCAGAGCGCUUCCUUGGUAAGGAAGAGGUUCACCGGUUCGAUUCCGGUCAUGGGCUCCA